AAAACACUGAGGAAGCAUACAUAAAAAGACUCCAGAUUUCAUUAUUUAAUUCUUUUGGUAAAUGGGUAUGUUGAUGAUUCAGGGAGAGUGAUGUGGUGCAACUGCUGCUGUAGAUUAAGUCCACAAGGCACUGGGCACUUUUCAGACCAUCUUAUUUACUAUUAAUUGUUAACAAAAAUUAGCUUAAUUUCAGCUAGUGGGGAAGUUGAAGUUUACUAGGUUUCAUCUCACAUAUAGUUGGAGCUUUCUAUAGAAGGAAUUUCUGAUAUCUACUUUUUGCUAAGUUUUUACAUUUUUAAUGAAUCAGACAUUUUUGAAUCAUGAAUGAGCAACAUCUGCAAAAAGGAUGAUUCGAGCUUUUCAGUGUUCACUGUGAAAAAUAUGGAACUGCUAAAGUCUAUUUCUGACUAUUCAUAGAUGAAUUGAGGCAGUUUCUCUUGGAGUUUUGCUUGAGUGUGUGCUGCAGGAUUUGGUCUAGUUUUGCCUGUCUUCAGUAAAAACAAGUGUAACUGGUCUGUUCUUUGCCUGUCACAACACAAGUGCUCCCUUGAAAUUGUCAUCUUCAGUAAGCUGUAUGAAUUAGUAUCGACUGUAACUCUGCUUAGUCAAGAACAUUAUAAAAAGAAAAUUCCAGAUAGAUGGGGAAAAAAAAGAGACUUAGGAAUGAAAAGAUUCAGUUGUUUAAAAAUAGGUUGGGUUAUAUGUGACUAUUUUUAAAAAGCUGUAACAGUAAUACUUUAAAAACUAAAAUAGCUCUACUGUGCAACUUUUGCUCUAUUCUGACAGAAUGGUGUUGUGUUGAAUUUCAAGGCUGACCCUGGAAAACAUCUUAGGUGGCAAAGCAAAGAUCAAGACAGAUACUCAUGACUGUGACAGGUAUCCUUAAACAGUGAAACUGCUAUCAGCAAAUGAACCCUCUUCUCCAAGACCACAUGAAUGCCACUGUGCCGUGCUGAAAGAAGGAAGUGAGGUUAUAUUUCACUUAAGGACAGAAUGAAAGCUGGAACUGGUUUCAUAUUUUUCCCCAUGUUUUCUUUUCCACUCUCAGUCAUAUCUGUAUGGCUGAUGGUUAACAGGGUGCUUUGCUUCUAUGUGAGGAAGCAUUUGUUAUUGCUUGCUCACUAUUUUCCAUAGCAACAAAAUGUCUCUGUUUAGAAUCCAGUGGAGAUGAGCAAACAGAAAAGCCUUUAAGAAGCAGUUUGUAAAAGAAGCUAAAUUAAACUUAACUCUUUCACUUUAA